rnacentral:rRNA from 1 species
UACGAAGGGGGGCUAGCGUUGUUCGGAUUUACUGGGCGUAAAAGCGCACGUAGGCGGAUCGUUAAGUCGGGGGUGAAAUCCUGGAGCUCAACUCCAGAACUGCCUUCGAUACUGGCGAUCUUGAGUCCGGAAGAGGUGAGUGGAACUCCUAGUGUAGAGGUGGAAUUCGUAGAUAUUAGGAAGAACACAGUGGCGAAGGCGGCUCACUGGUCCGGUACUGACGCUGAGGUGCGAAAGCGUGGGGAGCAAACAGG